rnacentral:snRNA from 10 species
AUACUUACCUGGCAAGGGAGAUACCAUGAUCAAGAAGGUGGUUCACCCAUAGACCUUGCUGUAAAAUGUAACUAUUUUGCUUUUUAAUCUUUGAAUGUGUGUUGACCAUGAAACCAUGUUGUAAAAUGUAACUCUGUGCC